rnacentral:lncRNA from 1 species
AGUUGAAGGUUGAAGAUGAAGUUGAAUUGCACGCGUUUUGGUGCCAAUAUUCAAAUCAGACCAAACAUAGCAUGCCAGUGCGUUUUUUCAAACUUCUUGAUCGUUGGCGCCUUAUUUCAUUUAUUUUAUUUUUAUUUUAUUUUAUAUUUUAUUUCAUUUCUUUUCCAAUUAAUUUCUCACUCAAUUUUAACUCAAGUUGAUCCAAAUUUUUUACACAAGGUCUCUAAAAAU